rnacentral:tRNA from 1 species
ACGGAUAUGAUGGAAUUGGUAGACGUGUUAGGUUUAGAUUCUAAUGAUAUUAAAUCAUGAGGGUUCGAGUCCCUCUAUCCGUA